AACGAACGCUGGCGGCAUGCCUAACACAUGCAAGUCGAACGAGACCUUCGGGUCUAGUGGCGCACGGGUGCGUAACGCGUGGGAACCUGCCCUUAGGUUCGGAAUAACUGCCCGAAAGGGGUGCUAAUACCGGAUAAUGUCUUCGGACCAAAGAUUUAUCGCCUUUGGAUGGGCCCGCGUUGGAUUCGCUAGUUGGUAGGGGAAAAGCCUACCAAGGCGACGAUCCAUAGCUGGUCUGAGAGGAUGAUCAACCACACUGGGACUGAGACACGGCCCAGACUCCUACGGGAGGCAGCAGUGGGGAAUAUUGGACGAUGGGCCAAAGCCUGAUCACGCCAUGCCGCGUGAGUGAUGCAGGCCUUAGGGUUGUAAAGCUCUUUUACCCGGGAUGAUAAUGACAGUACCGGGAGAAUAAGCUCCGGCUAACUCCGUG
rnacentral:rRNA from 1 species